rnacentral:tRNA from 1 species
GGUAGUGGCUCAGAGGUAGAGCACUUGCCUAGCAUGCAUGAGGCACUGGGUUCACUCCUCAGCACCA